rnacentral:rRNA from 1 species
GACGAACGCUGGCGGCGUGCCUAAUACAUGCAAGUUGAGCGCUGAAGGUUGGUACUUGUACCAACUGGAUGAGCAGCGAACGGGUGAGUAACGCGUGGGGAAUCUGCCUUUGAGCGGGGGACAACAUUUGGAAACGAAUGCUAAUACCGCAUAAAAACUUUAAACACAAGUUUUAAGUUUGAAAGAUGCAAUUGCAUCACUCAAAGAUGAUCCCGCGUUGUAUUAGCUAGUUGGUGAGGUAAAGGCUCACCAAGGCGAUGAUACAUAGCCGACCUCAGAGGGUGCUCGGCCACAUUGGGACUGCGACACGGCCCAAACGCCUAAGGGAGGCAGCGGUAGGGGAUCUUCCGCCAGGGACGAAAGUCUGACCGAGCAACGCCGCGUGAGUGCAGAAGGUUUUCGGAUCGUAAAACUCUGUUGGUAGAGAAGAACGUUGGUGAGAGUGGAAAGCUCAUCAAGUGACGGUAACUACCCAGAAAGGGACGGCUAACUCCGUG